CCUACGAGAGGCAGCAGUGAGGAAUAUUGGUCAAUGGACGCAAGUCUGAACCAGCCAUGCCGCGUGCAGGAAGACGGCUCUAUGAGUUGUAAACUGCUUUUGUACGAGGGUAAACGCAGAUACGCGUAUCUGUCUGAAAGUAUCUUACGAAUAAGGAUCGGCUAAAUACGUGCCAGCAGCCGCGGUAAUACGGAGGAUUCAAGCGUUAUCCGGAUUUAUUGGGUUUAAAGGGUGCGUAGGCGGUCGGAUAAGUUAGAGGUGAAAUCCCAAGGCUCAACUUCGGAAUUGCCUCUGAUACUGUUCGGCUAGAGAGUAGUUGCGGUAGGCGGAAUGUAUGGUGUAGCGGUGAAAUGCUUAGAGAUCAUACAGAACACCGAUUGCGAAGGCAGCUUACCAAGCUACUUCUGACGUUGAGGCACGAAAGCGUGGGGAGCAAACAGGAUUAGAUACCCCUGUAGUC
rnacentral:rRNA from 1 species